GAGCCUCACCACUUUCCAGAAGAGAGUUAGCAUAGGAGGCCCCCUCAAAGUUUUUGACCUCAGAAGGCUUUUUCCCGAUCCUUCCUCUCAACGUAAGUGACAUGGAGCACGCCUGGGGAAGAGUCUCAUUGGAGCAAGUGUUUGGGGACAGCGUGACGCAGAGGUGUUAAGAGCCCGAGAAAUGCUCUCCUUUAGACCGAGGCCUCCAGGGGCUGCGUCAGUGCCGCUCCUUUGGUAAGAAAUCCACUCCGACUCCCUUUUUUCAGGUACGAACAGUUCACAGUUCACGCACAGCUGGCUUGUUUCUGAAUUCAAAAUACCACAACUUUUUGUAAAAACCAUUGAAAUUGUCCAAAUAUACAUGCAAAAAGAAUAGUUUUAUGAACAUCCAUA